CGUGUCGUGAGAUGUUGGGUUAAGUCCCGCANCGAGCGCAACCCUCGCCUUUAGUUGCCAUCAUUUAGUUGGGCACUCUAAAGGGACUGCCAGUGAUAAGCUGGAGGAAGGUGGGGAUGACGUCAAGUCCUCAUGGCCCUUACGGGCUGGGCUACACACGUGCUACAAUGGUGGUGACAGUGGGCAGCAAACACGCGAGUGUGAGCUAAUCUCCAAAAGCCAUCUCAGUUCGGAUUGCACUCUGCAACUU
rnacentral:rRNA from 1 species